UCUGGGCCGUAUUAUACAGCUUUUAUUUCUUAUGGGUCUGAAUUAAAAGAAAAAAAAGAGAAAUGAAAUGAAAAAAAAAGGGUUCUCUUCUCCUCUGGAAAUCGAUUCCUCUAUCGUCAGAUUCCAACGGUAAUAGCUCAAAAUGACAUAAAUUUUGUAAUCCUAGAUUAGGACCAAAGAGAUUCCCAUAUUGAGCCCAUGCUACUUGCUCGAUCUUCACUCACCUUCUCCGUCCUCCACUCCUCCUCCACCUCUUCCACUACUCCUCACCAUUUCAAAUCCGCCACCACACUUACCGACGAUGUAUUUAAAAUCUCCUUUUUUGCCGCGGAUCUGUUCCGUUUUGUCAAUGAAACCUACCUCUCCUCUGAUCCACCGCUUUGUCUUCUCCUCCUCUCGCUAGUGUAUAAUGUUCAGAGGUCUCGAGAUCUUCAAUUUCGGAAAGCUAGAAAUGCUUUUGAGAAGCCAAUUAGUUCCUAAGAAACUAUCCUUCAAAAUAGAAACUCAAUUAAUGAUGGUUUCUUCGAAUUGUCUCUUGUCAGCUGUAUUUGUAAUUACCCAUCUUGUUUCGUCCAUACUCUUAUUUUAUUCGUUCAUCCAUCACGUUAGCUAUUGCGUCUGAAGCAAAUCUGAGAAUAUACCAAACCCUCCACCCUACCCCUGUAUAUUGCUUCCACGGCAGAGGACCUUCUAUUUUCUCCAGUGCUGUUAUGGAAAAUUGAAGUAACCUCAGAUUUGGUUUGUGAACCUAAACAGACUAAAAGCAGAAAGAUAAGUGCUCGAUCUUUGCUGGUGUUAGGUAGUGAUACGUAUGAGACUCUACAUCCUCCUAUCCUCUAUCAGUACUGAAGGAAGAUGAAGAAAGGCCCAAGUGGCUAAGAGUCCAUCAAGUGGAUCCCGUAGCUCCAAGAAGUAGUAGUGGGCCUUGGAGAGAGAGAUUAUCUAAAGUAAAGAAUAAGAGUCACUAUCCUUCUGCAGAGGACUGUAACGGAUGUUUUGUGGGGACAAAGGUCUCAAGAGUAGUACUUAUGUAGUAGGUUGGGGAAGGAUUGUUUUUAUCUAUCUUUUGGGUGAAACAUUGUAAGGGGGAGGGGAGAGACUCCAUUAAACAUUUCUCUUGGUUGUUACCGUUGUCUUUUAUCAAAGAGUACUUUCUUAUUA